UCGUCUUGUGCAGCCUGAAUAGAAAUGGAUCCUGUGAUUACUAUAGUUCUGGUGGUGGCAGCGGCAGUAGCAGCAGCAAUACAAGUUAAUGCCAUGGCCUGUAAUCUCUCUCACAAGAAUGGAACUCAUCAAUGCUAUGGGGCUUUGGGAGAAUCUUUGUCCAUACAGCUGGCUGCAGACAGCAGUAAUGAAGAAAUAACAUUGAAAAAAGAUCUUACUCGUAUUCUGCACUUCAAAACUGAAGACUGGAGAUUUAAAUUGCAUCAGGAUUAUGUGAAUCGCUCUGAGUUCUUUAACAAUGGAACAUUCAGACUGGACAGAGUUAUAGAAGACGACCGUGGAGAAUACCAAUUGGAAAUAUAUAAUUCAAAGGGAACACUGUUGCGCAAAGUCAACAUGCUACUUGAGAUACAAGGUACAGUACUGUUUUAUUUCUUUGUUUGGCCAAUAUACUUCAUGAAUCCUUUUCUUGGUGAGGGGUAUUUCAGAAAGGUCACCAGAAUGUCAGUAUUUCAAUAGGUUUCUGCUGUAGGACUUGGCAGCAGAGAGAGUAUAUUGUUAAAUCAUACUUUAGAUAUAAUGUUUUAUGAAUGGCCAGAAUCUGACCAGGAGUGUAGCCUAUGUCCACUACCAGAGCAGUGUCAUCAUACUGAAGAGUGAUGUGACAGGAACCCUGACCUGUAUGGUUCAGAAUAAAGUUAGCACCAGCAACUCUACUAUUCAUCUACUGGCGUGCCCAGGUAAUGUCAGGACAGUUUCCUUCCCACAAUGUAAGAAUUCAAAUGAAUUUGACUUGCCAGAUAAGAUAAUUUUAUUGAUUGGUUACUGUUGACACUGUUGAUUACUCCUACUCUCAGAAUUCUGUUUGUCUCUUCCCAGUUUUCUCCUCCCAGUUUCGUUUUGUAAUUGUGACAGUAGCUAUAGCUCUAGCUGUUGGAACUCUUGCCCUACUUCAUGCAGUGUUUGUUGGCGUAAACCGUCUCUGUGGGAAACUGAGAUUUGGACAUACUACUUCAGGUUGCUCUAAUGAUGAAGGUGCUGCUGUUGUAUACACUGAAGUAUUCAAUAAAAGAAAGAGAGAAGUCAACCAGAAAGCUACAGAGAUGGUGGAGUAUGGAGAGAUCAAAAUGGCUGCCAGUCUUAAUGAGGAAGAAAGCCCCAAUAAUCAAGGGGACAUGGAAUUGUCAACCAACCAGACAUAUGACACAUCUUUUCUGACAACUUUCGUCAGGACUUAGUAGAAACCAAAAAUAUGGGAGUGUAUUACUCCCUUGUAUAUGUUUGUGUUGUCAUUUGAGUCAUUGUAAAUGUGUAUUGCUUCAAAUUUAGAACUUUAGCCCUUUCAACCAUACUUCUAAACCAAAUGGAGGGACGUCGGUCUGAAACAAAAGAUGACUGUUAAAUAUCUUAAUUUUAUGAUUGUGUGAUGUUUUCAGUGUUUGGGAUCUUUUGCAAUAUUGUGUGUUUGCCAUCCAUUCUCCUUCAUUUGCUGCUGACCUGGGUGUGUACUUUAUUUGGCAAUGUCAGAGUGUUAAAUGCUAAAUGUAAGAGAGAAACAUUGAUGAACAUGACAGCUUAUAUUCCUUGCAAUAUCAUACUUUUUAAACUUGAAAAGCUAUUUUAAAAGGAUGACAUCUUAUCAGAUGUAAA